ACGCACGCUGGCGGCGUGCUUAACACCUGCCAGUCGCACGGAAAGGCCCUGCUUGCAGGGUACUCGAGUGGCGAACGGGUGAGUAACACGUGGGUGAUCUGCCCUGCACUUCGGGAUAAGCUUGGGAAACUGGGUCUAAUACCGGAUAGGAGCCAUCUUUAGUGUGGUGGUUGGAAAGUUUUUUCGGUGUAGGAUGAGCUCGCGGCCUAUCAGCUUGUUGGUGGGGUAAUGGCCUACCAAGGCGGCGACGGGUAGCCGGCCUGAGAGGGUGUACGGCCACAUUGGGACUGAGAUACGGCCCAGACUCCUACGGGAGGCAGCAGUGGGGAAUAUUGCACAAUGGGCGCAAGCCUGAUGCAGCGACGCCGCGUGGGGGAUGAAGGCCUUCGGGUUGUAAACUCCUUUCGCUAGGGACGAAGCUUUUUUGUGACGGUACCUAGAUAAGAAGCACCGGCUAACUACGUG
rnacentral:rRNA from 1 species